rnacentral:sRNA from 1 species
AUAUUUUUUUGGAUAUAUUAGUUAUUUUUGUGUAUUUUUAGAUAUAUUCAAGCAAAACUACUCGUGUUGUUUUGGGAAUUUUUGAAAAUUUCAAAUAAUUUAAUAGAUUUGCACACAAAAUUUGAUAUUUCAAUAUAUAAAUAAACUCGAACCCGAACCCGAACCCAAACUGAACCCGACCCGAAAUCUUAAAUUACCUGAACGGGUCCUAAACUUCUAAACCCGAAAACCCGAACCCGAAAUACCCGAUCCGAAUACCCAAACGCCUAGGCUUAAUAAUU